rnacentral:rRNA from 1 species
AACCGAGUCUUAACCGGGCGUUAAGUUGCAGGGUAUAGACCCGAAACCCGGUGAUCUAGCCAUGGGCAGGUUGAAGGUUGGGUAACACUAACUGGAGGACCGAACCGACUAAUGUUGAAAAAUUAGCGGAUGACCUGUGGCUGGGGGUGAAAGGCCAAUCAAACCGGGAGAUAGCUGGUUCUCCCCGAAAGCUAUUUAGGUAGCGCCUCGUGAAUUCAUCUCCGGGGGUAGAGCACUGUUUCGGCUAGGGGGCCAUCCCGGCUUACCAACCCGAUGCAAACUGCGAAUACCGGAGAAUGUUAUCACGGGAGACACACGGCGGGUGCUAACGUCCGUCGUGAAGAGGGAAACAACCCAGACCGCCAGCUAAGGUCCCAAAGUCAUGGUUAAGUGGGAAACGAUGUGGGAAGGCCCAGACAGCCAGGAUGUUGGCUUAGAAGCAGCCAUCAUUUAAAGAAAGCGUAAUAGCUCACUGGUCGAGUCGGCCUGCGCGGAAGAUGUAACGGGGCUAAACCAUGCACCGAAGCUGCGGCAGCGACGCUGAUGCGUUGUUGGGUAGGGGAGCGUUCUGUAAGCCUGCGAAGGUGGCCUGUGAGGGUUGCUGGAGGUAUCAGAAGUGCGAAUGCUGACAUAAGUAACGAUAAAGCGGGUGAAAAGCCCGCUCGCCGGAAGACCAAGGGUUCCUGUCCAACGUUAAUCGGGGCAGGGUGAGUCGACCCCUAAGGCGAGGCCGAAAGGCGUAGUCGAUGGGAAACGGGUUAAUAUUCCCGUACUUGGUGUUACUGCGAAGGGGGGACGGAGAAGGCUAUGUUGGCCGGGCGACGGUU